AUGUUUUUUUCGUCAAAGUAGUCUUUUAAGCUACUUUCAUGUGUUUUCAGGGUUAAAGGACAUAUUACACGAAAUGAUGCAAUUUGGAGCUUUUGGAGCAAAAAGUGAGCUGGAAUGUGGUGUAUGCAAAUGGAGCACGAGGAAUGGACGAGUUUGAAGGUCAAAGAAGCUUAAGAAUGAAGAAAUGAAAGUGAUGAACUAAGAAUUCGGAAUUGGAAACCAAAGUUUCUAAAGUUGGAAGUUUCUAUUCUUGGAGGUUUCCAAUUUCGAGAGUUUCUAUUCUCGGCUUUGGGCUUUUGGAUGACCCAUCUUUGCCUCUUGGACCUAUGCCGCACCUAGGCCUUGUUCACAUGAAAAAAAUCUGAUUACUUACCCUAAGCCCAUGCCGCACCUAAUGUUCUAGAAACCCUAGUUUUUGGUGGAUUUCCUAACCCUAGCCGCACCUAAAACCCUAGCCCAUUUGUCUAACCUGAUUUCUUUAGGGUUUGGCUGCCUAUAUAUAUGUGUUUUUACCUCCCUUGGCCGAACACCACCCUCUCCAUAUUCAGAAAUUCGUCCAAAACCCUAUUUCCCAUCUUGCCGCACCUUUCCUUCAUUCCAGCCGAUUUCUACCACCAUUCUUCAUCUCCACACCUUCCACACAACACCCAUACACCAUCCCCAAGCCUUGCCGUGCCUUCCCACCACCAUCACCACCUUGUGCAGCCACCAUUGGAGGAGGAAGAAGUAGUGCCGUGCAUUCCAAAGGAGGAAGACACCUUGCACAUGCAAUCUGCCAUUAGUGGAGUGUUUGGAGUUCUUUCUUUCUUUGUUUCUGUUUUCAUGUUUAAUUUAAAUUGUUGUUCAAUUAUGUUAGACAUGUGGAACUAAUUUCUUUUUAGUUAGAGGUGAAUUUGAAGCCAUGGACAUAUGUUUUAUAUGAUUUGAUUUCUUCCAAUUAUGAUUUCAGAAAUUGUGAAUGUGAUUUACUUAUCUAUUUGAUUGAUAACUUGUUUAUGUAUGUGGGUUGAGGGUCGACACUUAAUUUGCAUGCCUAAACUUGAUGCUAGGAUAUAAGGGAAUUUCACCUAAUCGCUAUUAACUUGUAUUCAUAAGUAGUGAAAGUCGCUAGUCACGAUUGUGUUAAGUAAAUCCUAGGCAAGAAUAACAUGUGUAUCCCAUAGUUAUGAAUGCCUCGUCAAUGCUUAUGAUUUCCAUUAAACUUAAUGAUCUUUGAUAUGUGUCUCUAUCAUGCGUAUUCCAUAGUUAGGGUCCUUGAUAAGAAUAAUUUGGUUGUAAUGCGUAUUCCAUUCAAUUCAAUGAAUCUAGGGAAAUCUGAGAAUUAAUUGGUGCAAUCUAGUUAAUUUGGGGCAUUGUCAUUCAUGGUUUGUUGAAAGAGUAAUUGGACAUCGAGUUGUAUGCAUAUGUUCAUGUGUGGAUAAGGAACCCUCUAACUAGCUUCUCACCAUUCUAUUUAAUCACAAUAUGUGCUGCUUUACAUUUGUUUUUAAAGUCUGAGUUUUAAAGUUUUAAUUUCGUCAAAAUCAUUCCCCCAUUUAUUUUAAAGUGUUAGAUUAGUUAGAAAUCCAUUUAGUUGUGUUUUUAAGUGUUUUGAGUCAAGUUAUAGUCCAAAUUCGUCCAAACUAGUGUUAGGUACUCAAAACUGCCCAGAAAGUGGUUUUAAGGCAGUUUUGAGCCUUUUAGUUGCUGUUUUGAGUUUUUAGUUUGUUUAGGUGUUUUAAACCCUAGUUUUGCAUUAAUUGAGUCUAGUUUAGUGUUCUACAUUAUAUUUUUAUGUUCUUGAGUCAGUUUUACAUUGAUUAGCAUCCCUAGUUAAUCCCCGGUUAGAACGAUCCCCUAUUUGCUCAUAUACUACAAUUGUCAUCCAUAGGGUUUAAUUUGUGUGUCAACAUAAUUUUCACAUCAAAUUUUGGCGCCGUUGCCGGGGAUUAGCAAAAUUGCUAAUCCCUUGUGUUUUUUUUGCCGUGUGUUUUAGUAUAAUUUACCUAGUUUGCUUAUUUUGUUUUGUUUUCUUGGUUUAGGUACUAGUGCAUGACGCGGAGCUCUCAAACCGUGCACGCACACAUAUUGGAUUUCAACGACGAUUUUGAACGUGAUUUGAGAAGAAAGAGGAGGCAUCCCGAACCUAGUGAACCUAGUUCAAGUUCAGAGGCCGAAUCUGAGUUUGAAGAAGUGGAAGAAGAAGUUAUGGCAGUGGACAAUCGGACCAUUAAAGAGCUUUCGGCCUCGGGGUUGACAAAUGCCGCACCAUUAUGCAUUCAAUACCCCGCGGCUGCCCAAGGCAAGACCGAUGAAUUCGAGUUGAAGUCAAGCUUGUUGCACCACAUUCCGAAAUACCAUGGGCUUUCCAUGGAAGAUCCCAACAAGCAUCUCAAGGAGUUCGAGGUUGUUUGUUCGAGCAUGACACCCAUCAAUGUUGACGGGAGUAUUUUGAUGAUGAAGGCUUUUCCAUUCUCACUUUUGGAAAAGGCGAAAGAUUGGCUUUACGAGUUAGCACCCGGAACGGUUACAUCUUGGGAUAGUAUGAAAAGAGCGUUCUUGGAGAAGUUUUUCCCAACGUCAAGAGUCAUUCUCUUGAGGAAACGGAUUAGUGGCAUCCAACAAAACCCAGGUGAAUCGUUUCCUUCUUAUUAUGAACGUUUUAAAUCACUUGUUGCUUCUUGUCCACAGCAUCAAAUGAAGGAGGAGCUACUCAUUCAAUACUUCUACGAAGGACUCCUCCCCAUGGAACGCCAAAUGCUUGAUGCCUCGGCGGGAGGAGCGUUGGUGGAUAAGACUCCGGGGGCUGCAAAAGUUCUAAUUGCCAAUCGAGCACAUAAUGCACAACAAUACGAAGGUGUUGGACAAAGGGACCCCCCACGGCCACAAGUGAAUGAGGUAAGUUCUAUGCCCGAGAUUCAAUCCCAAUUAGCUAACCUUACUUCUAUUGUUCUCAGUUAGCCGAGGGAAUGAAGAUUCAUGGACCAAGUGUGUGUGGCGUGUGCUCGGUGCAAGGACAUGCCAAUGAUCAAUGCCCUCAAUUGAUUGAGAAUGGGGGUUGGGAAGCUGCCAAUGUCGUUGGUUUUGGGAACCAAAAUCAACCACGCCAUGAUCCAUACUCUAAUUCCUACAAUCCGGGGUGGAGAGACCAUCCAAAUUUCAAAUGGCGGGAUCCUCAACAACCCCAACAACAAGGAGGAUUUAGGCAGCAACCACCGGGCUUUUAUACAAAGCCAUUCGUCCCCAAUCAAAACCAAGUGCAAUCUGCCCCACCAACCUCAGGUACGUCUUUGGAUAAUGAUCAAGUUGUUAAGUUACUUACUACUUUGACGCAGGAAGUACAAACUCAAAAUAAGGAGAGACAAAUCCAAGACAAACGGGUGGAUAAUUUGGAGAAGCAAAUGGGUCAAAUUGCCGAAUUCAUGGGGCAAAUUAGAGAACAAGGCAGAUUGCCUAGUUCAACCGUUGUGAACCCGAAGGGAGGAUUUGAAACCGCUAAGGCCAUCAUGUUGAGAAGUGGUAAACAGGUUGGAACGGACUCAAAUACAUCCAAAUCGAGUCAAGAAGAGGAGGACAGGUUGCUGCAAGAAGAAGCACAGGGAGCAAAGCCCACGGCCAAGGAUGACCAAACCUUGCCGCCACCCUCUAACCCUCCUAAAUCGUCCUCAACCACCAAGGUAAGUCCAAAUUCAACUUUUUCUAGUUCUAUUCCACUGAAUGUGCCCUUUCCUGGCAGGUUUAGGCAAUCAAAGAAGGAAGAACCCGAGAAGGACAUUCUAGAGACCUUUCGGAAAGUUCAAGUCAAUAUCCCGCUCCUUGAUGCGAUUAAGCAAGUCCCGAGGUAUGCUAAGUUCUUAAAAGAACUUUGUACAACAAGGAGAAGGAUUUCGAACAAAGAGGUGGUCCAAGUAAGUGAAAACGUCUCUGCUGUGUUACAAAGGAAAUUACCCCCUAAAUGCAAAGAUCCGGGUAGUUUUACAAUUCCAUGCGUUAUUGGUAAUACUAAGUUUGAACAAUGCAUGUUAGACUUAGGGGCUUCGAUUAAUGUUAUGCCAUACUCAAUUUAUGCAUCUAUGAACUUAGGUGAGCUUAAAAAUGAUGGUGUGAUAAUUCAAUUAGCCGAUCGUUCUAAUGCAUACCCAAAGGGUGUUUUUUUGGAAGAUGUUUUGGUGCAGGUUGGUAAUUUGAUUUUUUCCAGCGGACUUUUACGUGCUUGACAUGGAGGAUUCACCCCAUUCUACCCCAUUGCCGAUUCUAUUAGGGAGGCCCUUCAUGAAAACAGCCCGCACCAAGAUAGAUGUGUUUAAAGGAACUUUAACGAUGGAAUUUGAUGGGGAAGUCAUUGAUUUUAAUCUUUCUGAAAGUAUUAAAUUUCCUAAGGACGAUCAUUCUUGCUUUUCUAUUGAUAUAAUUGAUGAUUUGGCGCAGGAUUUUCUCGAUUGUUUGGAGAGGGAUACACUUGAAACAACAAUUGCACAAGGAAUUGGGCACAAAAAUGGUGUUGCCGUGCCUAGAAGUGAGGAUGAGGCCGAGAUAGUGGCUGCCCUUGAGUCACUCCCUCAACACCAUGGUAAGCCUUCUAACCCAAUUUCAAUUCCAGUUUCCACUAAUAAGAUGUUACCCUCAGUGAUUCAGGCACCCGUACUUGAGCUUAAACCGUUACCCGAUCAUUUAAAGUACGUUUUUCUGGGAGACAACGAGACAUUGCCCGUCAUUGUCUCUUCAUCACUCACGGCCAUAGAGGAGGAGAAGUUGAUCCGAGUGUUGAAAGAGCACAAGACGGCCAUUGGGUGGACUUUGGCCGAUAUUAGGGGAAUUAGCCCAACUACGUGCAUGCAUCGCAUACUUCUAGAGGAUGGGGCUAAACCAACUCGAGAGGCUUAGCGCCGUCUCAACCCUCCAAUGAUGGAAGUUGUGAAAAAGGAGAUUAUCAAACUUCUUGAUUGUGGAGUGAUUUAUCCGAUCUCUGAUAGUCGUUGGGUGUCACCGGUGCGAUGUGUUCCAAAGAAGUCCGGAGUGACCGUGGUGAAGAAUGCCGAGAAUGAGCUUGUGCCAACCCGUAUCCAAACAGGUUGGCGAGUGUGCAUUGAUUAUAGGAAGCUCAACGCCACCACAAGGAAGGACCACGUCCCUUUGCCGUUCAUUGAUCAAAUGCUUGAAAGGUUAGCCGGUCAUUCUUUUUAUUGUUUCCUUGGUGGUUAUUCUGGAUAUAAUCAGAUUGUCAUAGCGCCGGAUGACCAAGAAAAGACAACUUUCACAUGCCCCUUUGGUACUUUUGCUUAUCGUCGCAUGCCUUUUGGUUUAUGCAAUGCUCCGGCCACAUUUCAAAAGUGUAUGGUAAGUAUCUUUUCAGAUUUUGUGGAAAAGAUUAUUGAGGUAUUUAUGGAUGAUUUCAGUGUGUUUGGUGAUUCAUUUGAUGGAUGUUUGGAAAAUCUCACAAUAAUUUUGAAAACGAUGUGUAGAAACUAACCUAGUGCUUAAUUGGGAAAAAAUGUCACUUUAUGGUUAGACAAGGCAUAGUUCUAGGGCAUAUUGUUUCAGAAAGAGGAAUUGAAGUGGAUAAAUCGAAAAUAGAUCUUGUACGCUAUUUACCCUCUCCUACUUCGGUUCGAGAGGUUCGUUCGUUUCUUGGUCAUGCAGGAUUUUAUAGGCGAUUUAUCAAGGACUUCUCCAAGAUCUCAAACCCUCUUUGCCGUCUCCUCCAGAAAGAUGUGGCGUUUGACUUCAACAAGGAGUGUGAGAAGGCGUUCAAUCACCUAAAGGACAUGCUAACUUCGGCCCCUAUCAUAGUUCCACCGGAUUGGAGCCUUCCUUUUAAGCUUAUGUGCGACGCUUCCGAUUAUGCAUUAGGAGCUGUUUUGGGGCAAAGGAAGGACAAGAGGCCGCAUGCUAUCUAUUAUGCCUCUCGGACUUUAAAUGAUGCACAAUUGAAUUAUUCCACCACUGAAAAAGAACUUCUAGCUGUUGUAUUUGCUUUAGAUAAAUUCCGUUCUUAUUUGCUUGGUACUAAAGUUAUUAUUUAUACUGACCAUGCAGCAUUGAAGUAUUUGUUCACCAAGAAGGAGGCCAAACCACGACUCAUUCGUUGGAUGCUUCUUCUCCAAGAGUUCGAUAUCGAAAUCCGGGACAAGAAGGGAAGUGAAAACGUGGUGGCUGACCACUUGAGCCGUAUGGUGCAUGAGGAGGAUGCCGUGCCUAUCAUAGAGACAUUCCCAGAUGAGCAACUGAUGUCCAUCAAGGUAAGUGAACCAUGGUAUGCUGAUUUGGUGAAUUAUUUGGUGUCUAAACAUGUUCCUAGUGAAUUACUUAAACACCAAGGUGAUAAAUUGAAGAAAGAGGCACGGUUUUAUGUGUGGGAUGACCCGUAUUUAUGGAAAUAUUGCCCUGACCAAGUUAUACGUAGGUGUGUGCACGAUUCUGAGUUUAAUGCUAUUCUAACAUUUUGUCACACUUAUGCUUGUGGGGGACACUUUGGCACUAAUAGAACAGCACUUAAGGUAUUAGAAUGUGGUUUCUAUUGGCCUACCAUCUUUAGGGAUGCUAGAACAUUUUGCAUGUCUUGUGAUAGAUGCCAAAGAACGGGCAAUAUAGGUCCUAAACAACAAAUGCCGCAAACCCCCAUUUUUAGUGUUGAAAUAUUUGAUGUUUGGGGUAUUGAUUUUAUGGGUCCCUUUCCUUCGUCACAUGGAUUUCUUUAUAUAUUACUUGCUGUGGAUUAUGUGUCGAAGUGGGUGGAAGCAAAAGCCACCCGAACUAAUGAUUCUCGAGUGGUUGCAGAUUUUGUGAAAACUAACAUUUUUGCAAGGUUCGGAAUGCCACGAGUGCUCAUUAGUGAUGGAGGUUCCCAUUUUUGUAAUCGAACCAUCGAGGCGUUGCUCAAGAAAUACAAUGUCACGCAUAAGGUGGCCACACCUUAUCAUCCUCAAACGAGCGGGCAAGCCGAGGUUUCGAAUAGGGAAAUCAAGCAAAUUCUUGAGAAGACCGUGGGGCCUACGAGGAAGGAUUGGAGUUUGCGCUUAAACGAUGCAUUGUGGGCGUAUCGCACUACUUACAAAACCCCCAUUGGGAUGUCACAUUUUCGGCUCAUCUAUGGGAAGCCAUGCCAUCUUCCCGUCGAGUUAGAGCAUCGUGCACACUGGGCCGUCAAAACGUUUAACAUGGACCUUGAUGCCGCAGGUUUACAUAGGAAGCUCCAAUUGUGUGAACUUGAGGAAAUCCGAAAUGAAGCAUAUGAGAAUGCCCGGAUUUACAAGGAGAAAACGAAGGCAUUCCAUGACAAGAUGAUUCGUGCCAAGACGUUCUCUAUUGGGCAGAAAGUGUUGUUGUUCAAUUCUCGCCUUCGGUUGUUUCCGGGUAAGUUGCGUUCCAAAUGGGUUGGUCCUUUUAUUGUAACUAAUGUUUUCCCUCAUGGUGCAGUGCAAAUCAAGAGUGCAAGGACGCAACAAGAAUUCAAAGUGAAUGGGCAUCGAUUGAAGCCCUAUUACGAGAUGUUUGAGGAGCAUGUCGUGGAGGAGGUACCCCUCCAUGCCGUGGCACAUAGUCAAGCUUAAACGGAGGUACCGUCCGGCUGGAAGACGUUAAAGCAAGCGCUUCGUGGGAGGCAACCCAUGCAUUUGACAAAGGAAGACCUAGAGAGCACUCCAAUUCCAGAUUUGCGUUUCUAAACCCUUCUCUUUGUUGUUUCUUUCGUUUCUGCCAUGUUUAGUUUGUUAGUAUUGGUUUGUUUGUUUAUGUGUUUUUGUGUGAGUCUAUGCUUGAAACAUUGAGGACAAUGUUUGGUUUAAGUGUGGGGGGGGUAACCAAAGUGUUUUGAUGCAAAUUCGUAGGGUUUUCUCACUCAUAAUUUCCAAUGUUGUUUCUUGCUGUUUUUAGGUGUUUUUAGGCUGUUUUGGUGUGUUUUAAUGUGUUUUGAUUCAAAAAUCCGAAAAUCCCAUAAAAAUUUGAAAAUUUGUUUUAAAAAAAACCCAAAAAGAGUCGUUUUUAAGUUAUUUUUGUGUGUUUGUUUGUGUCUUAGGGUACCUUCCAACACAAUGAUGAGGAUUUGGUUUUUAAUUGCAUGACUAUUGAAGAGAGUUAUAAACAUGGAUGGAAGUUUGAUUUACUCUUGGUUUAUGCUUAGUUGUAGUUAUAACUUAUGAAUUCACAUGUAAUCAAAAAGAAAAAAAUCAGUUUUUGUGACAUGCUUGAAGGAAGAAACUCAAACUAAAGCUACAACCCUGAGAGACUUGAGCCUAAACUUUAUUUGGAGAGUUGAAAUCUGUGCAUUCUUGUUUUCUAAAGUCGUUGCAUGAUCUCAUUAUUCUUUGCUUGGUUACUACUUAGAAGGUGUUUCAUCAUUUAGUUCCAAAUGCUAGAACUCAUGCCAAUUUCAUUCAAAACAUUUCAUUGAAUUGCAUAACACAUAUUCGAGAAGAAGUUGUUUAGUAGUUGCCACCAUAUCCAAAAAGCCUUCAUUCCAUACAUUGUUUUUGUAGGUUUAACCCCGUUGAGCCUUAUUUAGCCUAUAUUGUUUGUUAACCCACAUUAUCCUUACCUAGCCUAGAUUAGGACCAUCCAUACCCUUGUUCUUGAAGCAUAGUAAGCAUGACUUAAAAUGAAUUCCUUUUGAUUGAGGGUGUGCAGAGAACAAGUGUGGGGGAGUGAUUUUUGAUAGGUGGAUGUGCCAAAGUCUCUUUUGAGGCACGAGAAAAAAAAAAUAAGAAAAAAAAAGAAAAAAAAAAGAAAGAAAAUUCGUAGAAAAAAAAAAGAGAAAAAAAAAGAAAAAUGUUGAGAAAAGUGUGAAAAAGAGUUGAAAGAGCAUGGAAAUGAGCUCUAAGGUGUUGGUUGUUGAAGAGGGGGUCCAAAACAUUGAAUUUGACCCCAAGUGUUGCAUGAAUUUCCCCUUUGAGUUAAAAGUUGAUUUUUGCAUUCAAAAGUGAAUUCUAAGUGUCAAUUUCAUUGCUUUGCUUACUAUUGUUUAAGAACGUUUGUUUAUCCUUCACCUUUCUUUGUUAACCAAUACCCCAAGCCCCGUUACAACCCUUAACUUCUAUCUUGAGUGUUGUGUAUUUCAAUUUAUGGAGUUUGGGAUUGGUAUGAGCAUAUGGUGUCACUGGUUCUCGCAUCUAAGUAGUAGCAUUCCUUUCAUGAGAUCAUAUACAUGCUUAUUAAAUUCAGAAAAAGCUUUCCUUGUUAUAACAUAUGUGAGCAUUCGUUUUCAUAUUUACAUCAAUCUUCUCACAUAUAACUAGUAUAGGGUGUGUAGUCAGAAAAUCUAUGUGAAAAUUGAGUGCAUAUCUAGUAAGGAAUUGAGCAAAUUCUCUAAGGCAUGUUACUACAUUCAAAAUCAUGUUUUAAUUGGUUAAAUGUGAACUAGUACGUGGUGGCUUUAAUUAAGUAUAUGCUUGUGUAAAGAUGACUAAAAUCUGUGGGGAUAACAAUCUUUAACAUGUCAUGUGCAUUGGAAAUCCCUGAGGCAAACGUUGGAAGGUUUAGGUUGUGUUUUGGUUAGUUUGUUUCGUUUUGUUUUCCUUCUUUUGUUUGUUUUGCUCGAGGACUAGCAAAAGCUAAGUGUGGGGGAAUUUGAUAGGAGCAUAUUUAUGCGCCUUAGUUAGCUAGUUCUUAUGCAUUUUUGUUAUGUUUUCUUCGUCAAAGUAGUCUUUUAAGCUACUUUCAUGUGUUUUCAGGGUUAAAGGACAUAUUACACGAAAUGAUGCAAUUUGGAGCUUUUGGAGCAAAAAGUGAGCUGGAAUGUGGUGUAUGCAAAUGGAGCACGAGGAAUGGAUGAGUUUGAAGGUCAAAGAAGCUUAAGAAUGAAGAAAUGAAAGUGAUGAACUAAGAAUUCGGAAUUGGAAACCAAAGUUUCUAAAGUUGGAAGUUUCUAUUCUUGGAGGUUUCCAAUUUCGAGAGUUUCUAUUCUCGGCUUUGGGCUUUUGGAUGACCCAUCUUUGCCUCUUGGACCUAUGCUGCACCUAACCCUAACCCUAGCCCACUUAAUCAGCCGCACCUAGGCCUUGUUCACAUGAAAAAAAUCUGAUUACUUACCCUAAGCCCAUGCCGCACCUAAUGUUCUAGAAACCCUAGUUUUUGGUGGAUUUCCUAACCCUAGCCGCACCUAAACCCUAGCCCAUUUGUCUAACCUGAUUUCUUUAGGGUUUGGCUGCCUAUAUAUAUGUGUUUUACCUCCCUUGGCCGAACACCACCCUCUCCAUAUUCAGAAAUUCGUCCAAAACCCUAUUUCCCAUCUUGCCGCACCUUUCCUUCAUUCCAGCCGAUUUCUACCACCAUUCUUCAUCUCCACACCUUCCACACAACACCCAUACACCAUCCCCAAGCCUUGCCGUGCCUUCCCACCACCAUCACCACCUUGUGCAGCCACCAUUGGAGGAGGAAGAAGUAGUGCCGUGCAUUCCAAAGGAGGAAGACACCUUGCACAUGCAAUCUGCCAUUAGUGGAGUGUUUGGAGUUCUUUCUUUCUUUGUUUCUGUUUUCAUGUUUAAUUUAAAUUGUUGUUCAAUUAUGUUAGACAUGUGGAACUAAUUUCUUUUUAGUUAGAGGUGAAUUUGAAGCCAUGGACAUAUGUUUUAUAUGAUUUGAUUUCUUCCAAUUAUGAUUUCAGAAAUUGUGAAUGUGAUUUACUUAUCUAUUUGAUUGAUAACUUGUUUAUGUAUGUGGGUUGAGGGUCGACACUUAAUUUGCAUGCCUAAACUUGAUGCUAGGAUAUAAGGGAAUUUCACCUAAUCGCUAUUAACUUGUAUUCAUAAGUAGUGAAA
rnacentral:lncRNA from 1 species